UCACCGUUUCAUCCCCACGAUU
rnacentral:miRNA from 1 species